UGGGGAAUAUUGCACAAUGGGCGCAAGCCUGAUGCAGCCAUGCCGCGUGUGUGAAGAAGGCCUUCGGGUUGUAAAGCACUUUCAGCGGGGAGGAAGGCGUUAAGGUUAAUAACCUUGGCGAUUGACGUUACCCGCAGAAGAAGCACCGGCUAACUCCGUGCCAGCAGCCGCGGUAAUACGGAGGGUGCAAGCGUUAAUCGGAAUUACUGGGCGUAAAGCGCACGCAGGCGGUCUGUCAAGUCGGAUGUGAAAUCCCCGGGCUCAACCUGGGAACUGCAUUCGAAACUGGCAGGCUAGAGUCUUGUAGAGGGGGGCAGGAUUCCAGGUGUAGCGGUGAAAUGCGUAGAGAUCUGGAGGAAUACCGGUGGCGAAGGCGGCCCCCUGGACAAAGACUGACGCUCAGGUGCGAAAGCGUGGGGAGCAAACAGGAUUAGAUGCCCUGGUAGUCCACGCCGUAAACGAUGUCGAUUUGGAGGUUGUGCCCUUGAGGCGUGGCUUCCGGAGCUAACGCGUUAAAUCGACCGCCUGGGGAGUACGGCCGCAAGGUUA
rnacentral:rRNA from 1 species